rnacentral:rRNA from 1 species
UACGUAGGUGACCAGCGUUGUCCGGAUUUACUGGGCGUAAAGAGCGCGCAGGCGGUCGUUCAAGUCGAGUGUGAAAGCCCCCGGCUCAACUGGGGAGGGUCAUUCGAUACUGAUCGACUUGAAGGCAGGAGAGGGAAGUGGAAUUCCCGGUGUAGCAGUGAAAUGCGUAGAGAUCGGGAGGAACAUCAGUUGCGAAGGCGGCUCUCUGGACCAGCACUGACACUGAGGCACGAAAGCGUGGGGAGCAAACAGG